rnacentral:rRNA from 1 species
CGAACGCUGGCGGCAGGCUUAACACAUGCAAGUCGAGCGGGCAUCCUUGUGGUGUCAGCGGCAGACGGGUGAGUAACGCGUGGGAACGUGCCCUUCGGUUCGGAAUAACUCAGGGAAACUUGAGCUAAUACCGGAUACGUGCGAGAGCAGAAAGGUUUAUCUGCCGAAGGAUCGGCCCGCGUCUGAUUAGCUAGUUGGUGAGGUUAUGGCUCACCAAGGCGACGAUCAGUAGCUGGUCUGAGAGGAUGAUCAGCCACACUGGGGCUGAGACACGGCCCAGACUCCUACGGGAGGCAGCAGUGGGGAAUAUUGGACAAUGGGGGCAACCCUGAUCCAGCCAUGCCGCGUGAGUGAUGACGGCCUUAGGGUUGUAAAGCUCUUUUCUUCGGGACGAUAAUGACGGUACCGGAGGAAUAAGCCCCGGCUAACUUCGUG